rnacentral:lncRNA from 1 species
GAAGUUUUCGACCGCCGAUCGAGGUAAAUUUUCUCCUCCCUACUCGUUUUUCGAUGCUUAAUCCGCCUAUGGCCAAACUGGAGCCAAACCACUGGCCAAACGGCCGAAAAACGCAGCCGAAACCCAGUGGCACCGCCGCGCCCCACCUCAAUUUUUACUCUGAUGAGGAACUUCCCGGCCUCCGUUUGAUGCAAAUUUUAUACCACUGUGAUCACCGUUCUUUUCUCUACAGGUUGAUCGAAGCCAAACAUCAAAAUACAAUUCAUGCUGGAGGAGCUGCCGCACUCGAGAGCACCGCUGCCGGUAAGUUUCAGUUUUUUGUGAUUUUUCAGCCCACCGAGGGCCCUAGGGUUGUUCUAUCGCAGGGACCGAUGCAAGC